CGGUUGAUCCUGCCGGAGGCUACUGCUAUUGGAAUCCGAUUAAGCCACGCGAGUCUAAAGGACUUCGGUCCUUGGCGGACGGCUCAGUAACACGUGGAGAACCUGCCCUCAGGAGGGGGAUAACCCCGGGAAACUGGGAAUAAUACCCCAUAGGUCUAGGUUGCUGGAAUGCUUCUAGGCUGAAAGCUCCGGCGCCUGAGGAUGGCUCUGCGGCUUAUCAGGUUGUAGUGAGGGUAACGUCCUCACUAGCCUAUGACGGGUACGGGCCCUGAGAGGGGAAGCCCGGAGAUGGACUCUGAGACACGAGUCCAGGCCCUACGGGGCGCAGCAGGCGCGAAAACUCCGCAAUGCUCGAAAGAGUGACGGGGGGGAUUCCAAGUGCCUACGCUCAGCGUAGGCUGUUCAGAUGCCUAAAAAGCAUCUGGAGUAAGGGCUGGGUAAGACGGGUGCCAGCCGCCGCGGUAAUACCCGCAGUUCGAGUGGUAGUCGAUUUUAUUGGGCCUAAAGCGUCCGUAUCCGGUCUGGUAAAUGCUUGGGUAAAUCGUGGGGCUCAACCCUACGAAUUCCGGGUAGACUGCCAGACUUGGGACCGGUUGAGGAAGAGGGUACUUUAGGGGUAGGAGUGAAAU
rnacentral:rRNA from 1 species